GGUCUUGAUACUCCAUGGUUUAUGGUAAAAUAAGCUAUGUGCUUUUUGUGUUUUAAUGUUUAAUAUGAAGUUAGCUAUAGGUUCAAUUUAUGUGUAUCUUUAAGCUUGAUUAAUGUAAGUUUUGCUAAAGCAAUUUUCAAGAGUCUUAUGGUAUUUCUAAUUUAUUGGUAUGUUUUCAUUAAUUGCAUUUGUAGAAAGUAGUUUGAAUUAUCAGUUUCUGUGAUGUACAUUAUGCUAGUAUUGUCAGUAAAGUAGAUUCAAUAGGAAGUAAAAUAAGGGCAUUUAAUAUUUGGAAACUGGCAAUAUGGUGGAUUGCAGCUCAUUGUUUUGAACCUAUCAGUGAUUGAAAACAAAAAUUAUAUACUGGAAAAUUGAACUGGUGUAGAUAUACUAUGGAAUAUAGAAUAAUUAGAUUUAUAGAAAAAAUUGAAAGAGGAAAAUGGUUAUACGAGGGACUUUUGUAAUGUGGAGAAGGUCUUUGCUACUUUUGCAUGCUCAUGCUGAACUUCAAAAGUUUCUGCUAAGAAUAAUACUUAGAAUACUUAAAGCUAGUGGAAUUUGCUUUAUUAUGCUAUUUAAAGCUAGUGCAGUUUUCUUAAUCAUGCUGUUUAUUUUAAUACAAUAUUGUUUGAUGAAAGAAGUAAUCAGGUUGUUCAACUUCACUGGUGGCAUUUUCUUAGAUAGUUAUAUGGUUUGCAUACCAAUAAGAAUAGUAUUUUGGGACAUGAAGUUGCUUGUGAAUUCUCAGCAGCACUUCACAUCAAAAUAUACUGCUUCAAAUUUCUUUGGUGAAUUCAGAUUCAUUUUAUGCUUGAGAUCUCUUACCUUAUUGAAUGAUGGCUAGCAAAUUGAUUCAUUUUGUUAAGAUAAUUAUGUACUUGAAAGUGUGCUCUUUUUUUUAGCUAUUUCUUUGUCUAAUUCCUUUUUUAUAAAAUAGUUCAAGGAUCAUUCGGUCAAGCAUGGUCUUGGCAUGAUGAAUUCAUGUGAUUCUGAGGCCACAAACAUUAUUGGUCUCAUGGUUUAUAGCCUGCUUUUAUUAGUGCCACAAAAUGAAAUUAAACUAGGGGAUGCUUUUCAUAUUUAUGGCCCUAGUGCAGGACCAUGAUCAGGUAGGCCACUGGUUCAUGUCCUGCCAAGUUGAUUCUGUUCAUUUAUGCGCAUGAUCUAAGCUUGGGUUAGGUGGUAUAGGGUGAAAUUUGGCAGUGCUGUGGCAUGUCAAAAUGAAAUUUGUGAUGCUGCAGCUGCAUGCCACAUACCCUUUGCAUUUAUAGUUUGCUUUUUAUUAAAUUGGCGUGCCCAUCACCCUUAUUAUCAUUUAUAAAUUUCUCUGAAAAAUUGAAUACAAGUACAAUUCACAAGGAAUAGUGCAACAGUUGCUUUCUUUUGCAUAAUUCAUUUUUUUCACACUAUGUUCGGACCAAAUGAGAAUGGAAUUUAUUUUAUUUGCAAAUGCAUUUUAAAAAAGAAUGUAUUUGUGAAUGAAUUCUCAUGUUUUGCAUCUAAUUCAUUUUAAAAUUGUAGUCUUAUUAAUUUUUACUUUUGUUUUUCCAGAAUUUAUUUGCAAAUUCUGUUAAUUCUCAUAGAGUUUGGCUCAAGCAAGCAUAACAAAUUCCCUAGAAUUAAAAAUGUAUAAUUCCAAAUGACCUCUAUGCAUUCCAAACAUAUCAUGUGUGGAUUUGUAAAUGAAUUUUUUGGAAUUCAUUUAAACCAAACAAGCUCUUAAGCAGAUAUUAGCUAGCUAUUUUUUCUUUUGUUGCUUCUGAAAGUGAAUAAAUUUUAGGUGCAUGGAAUAUCUGUGCUUUUUUUUGUUCCCAUUCAAAUACAUAGUCUGUUGUUAUUAUUCAUAUGUGUACUUAUAUCUUUCGUCUCAUGCUUUGUAGACCAAGGCUCCACGAUUGCUGCA
rnacentral:misc_RNA from 1 species